AUGACCAAGUCCCAGGGCUUGUUGUCAUUCAGUGAUGUGGCUGUGGAUUUCACCUGGGAAGAAUGGCAGCUACUAGAUACUGUUCAGAGGAACCUCUACCGGGAUGUGAUGUUGGAAAAUUAUAGCAACCUAAUGUCUUUGGGUUAUCAAGCCACUAGGCCAGAAGCAACGGUCCCCUUGGAGAAAGGAGAACAAGGAAUGCUAGAGAGAGAAUUCCCAAGUCAGUGUAGUCCCGGUGAGUACACCAGUGCAGUGGGAGUUGUUGGAAGCCAAGUGACAGUUGAUCACUGCCAUGGGAAACCAUUUUUCCAUACUCUACAUGAAACCUGCCAUACUCAGGCCCAGUACAAUGAACAUAAUUUGUGUGUGAAGACUUUCAGCAUGGUGAAAAAUCUUAAAAGACAUCAUAGAAUUCACACAGAAGGGAAACCUUAUGAAUGUAGUGAGUGCCCAAAAUCCUUCAGGUAUAAGUCAAAGCUCGUAAUACACCAGAGAACUCAUACAGGAGAGAAGCCGUACAGAUGCCCUGAAUGUCAGAAAGCUUUCAGUACAAAAUGUCAUCUCACUCUACACCAGAGAACUCAUACAGGAGAGAAACCUUAUGGAUGUAUUGAGUGUCCGAAAUCUUUCAGAACAAAGUAUCAUCUCAUUCUACACCACAGGACUCAUACAGGAGAGAAACCCUAUGAGUGCAAAGAGUGUGGAAAAGCUUACAGGGAGAAGACAAAGCUCAGAUUGCAUUGCAGAAUGCAUACAGGAGAGAAACCUUUUGAGUGUAGUGACUGUGGGAAAGGUUUUAUGCAGAAGUCAAACCUGAUUAUCCAUCAAAGAACUCAUACAGGAGAUAGACCCUAUGGAUGUAGACAAUGUGAAAAGACCUUCUGUAGUAAGUCUCAGCUUGUUGUUCACCAGCGAACUCAUACAGGAGAAAAAUCGUACGAAUGCAAGGAAUGUGGGAAAGCCUUCAAUAAAAACUCACAUCUCCUGACACAUCAGAGAAUUCAUAGAGGAGAGAAACCUUAUGAAUGCAGUGAGUGUGGAAAAGCUUUUGUAUACACAGCACAGCUUAUUGUACAUCAGAGAAAUCAUACAGGAAGAAAACCUUAUGAAUGCAAGGAGUGUGGGAAAACCUUCAAUAAAAAGUCACACUUCAUAACACAUCAGAGAAUCCAUACGGGAGAGAAGCCUUAUGAAUGCAGUGAAUGUGGAAAAGCUUUUAUAGACAAUUCACAGCUUAUUGUUCAUCGAAGAACUCACACAGGAGAGAAACCUUAUGAAUGCAAGGAAUGUGGGAAAGCCUUUAAUAAAAAGUCGUCCCUCAUAACACAUCAGAGAAUUCAUACAGGAGAGAAGCCUUAUGAAUGCAGUGAAUGUGGAAAAGCUUUUAUAGACAAGUCACAUCUCAUUGUCCAUCAGCGAACUCAUACGGGAGAGAAACCCUAUGAAUGCAGUGAAUGUGGAAAAGCUUUCAUACGAAAGGCAAUGCUCAUUGUCCAUCAGAGAACACAUACAGGAGAGAAACCCUUUGUAUGUCUUGAAUGCCAAAAAGCCUUUAGCAGUAUGGCAAUGCUCAGUAGACAUCAGUUGAUUCAUACAGGAGAGAGACCCCAUGCAUGCAAUGAAUGUGGAAAAGCUUUCCGCCAAAAAAGCCAUCUUAUUAUCCAUCAACGGUGCCAUACCGGAGAGAAACCCUAUGGAUGUGUUCCAUGUGGUCAGAUCUUCAACCAGAAGUCCCAGCUCAUUAGACAUCAGAGACGCCACACAGGAGAGAAACCGUAUCAGUGCACUCAGUGUGGAAAAGCCUUUUUUGAGAAAUCAUACCUCAGUGUCCAUCAGAGAAGUCACGCAGGACAGAAACCUUAUCAGUGUAAUGAGUGUGGGAAAACAUUCUCUCGCAAAUCACAGUUCAUGGUACACCAGAGAAUUCACACAGGAGAGAAAAUACAUGAAUGCGAUGAGUGUCUGAAAGCUUUUAUUCGGAAGACAGAGCUUAUUUUACAUCAAAGAACUCACAUAGGAGAGAAGCCUUAUGAGUGCAGAGAAUGUCCAAAGGCUUUUAGUAGUAAGUCUCAGCUCACUCUACACCAGAGGUGUCACACAGGAGAGAAACCCUAUGAAUGCAGUGAGUGAGUGUGGGAAAGCCUUCCCCCACAAAUCUACCCUGAUUUUGCAUCAGAGAACUCACACCAGAGAGAAACCCUAUGAAUGUAAUGAAUGUUGGCAAACCUUCAUUAGUAAGCCACACCUCAUUAAGUGUGAGAGAACUCAUACAGGGUAG